rnacentral:rRNA from 1 species
GUGCCAGCCGCCGCGGUAAUACGUAGGGUGCAAGCGUUAAUCGGAAUUACUGGGCGUAAAGCGUGCGCAGGCGGUGAUGUAAGACAGUUGUGAAAUCCCCGGGCUCAACCUGGGAACUGCAUCUGUGACUGCAUCGCUGGAGUGCGGCAGAGGGGGAUGGAAUUCCGCGUGUAGCAGUGAAAUGCGUAGAUAUGCGGAGGAACACCGAUGGCGAAGGCAAUCCCCUGGGCCUGCACUGACGCUCAUGCACGAAAGCGUGGGGAGCAAACAGGAUUAGAAACCCCCGUAGUCC